rnacentral:sRNA from 1 species
UAGGAGGCGCCCAGGCGGCAGAUGCUCACCAGCUCAGCUGCUUCCCAGGAAGCCCGGGAGGAAGCCCCAGCGGCUCGGUCUUUGUGCCAGCCCCCCUCAGGCAGUUUCAUGGGCGGAGCUUCGGACUGAUCAGUUUGUCAGGAAACACUUUUAUAUUAUUUCUCAUUCCUAUUUAUUCGUCAAAACCUUUGGGUCCUGAAGGAUAGAAAAACAGAAAAAUGGAGAAAACACAUUUAUUUUGCAAGACAGAAGAAAGCAUUGAUGUAUCAGCUCAAGGCUCUGAUUCUUCCACAACCAAGAUGUCAUCAAGAAGUGUUGAAAGCAAGAAAUAUUGCAAAAUUUCUAAAACAACAGGGAAGAAAAUUUCAUCUGAAAGUAAGGGCUUAAUCCCAGAAUAUAAAAAAAUAUAUGAAACAUCAUUAUUCGUGUAUAGAGAGGAAAAAUCUACUGAGGUUUCAGGAUCAAAACAAUUCAGGAGAAAGAAAAGUGUACAAGUACAGCUUCAUAGUAAAAGAACUGAGGUAAGUCAAAACUUGGCAAAUUUCCUUUGCCCUUAGCCCCCCCAAAUAUUCUUGAUGUUUUAUUUCAAGUAUUGAAAUGUUACCAUUUUAUUUUAUUUUAAAUGUUACUAUUUUAAACAUUUUUUCCUUCCUCCUUUCCUUCUCCUGCCCCCUUGAUUGAU